AACGCACAUUGCGCCCCUUGGUAUUCCGAGGGGCAUGCCUGUUCGAGCGUCAUUAUAACCCCUCAAGCUCAGCUUGGUAUUGGGGCCUGCCAUCCUGGCAGCCCUUAAAAUCAGUGGCGGUGCCAUCCGGCUCUAAGCGUAGUAAUUCUUCUCGCUACGGAGUCCUGGUGGAUGCUUGCCAUUAAUCUUUUAACUUCUAUGGUUGACCUCGGAUCAGGUAGGGAUACCCGCUGAACUUAA
rnacentral:misc_RNA from 1 species